CCCGUUUGAUGAAGAGGUCAGAUCCUUGGUCCUCCUUCCAUGUCUUAGGAUCUCCGCACACCUUCAUCUCUCUACUUUCUAAUCUUUGCUUUUACUUUGUAACUCUUCUCUUCUAAAUAAACUUCCAGAACCCUCAGCGUGAUCCAAAGGUUGUUGAUUUUCUUAUCCCCAAUCGUCUCUUCCAGGAAUCUGCGGCGAAGGAACACGGAAUGACACUCUCACUGCAUGGACAGAGUCCAAUCUCAGAACCUCCCCGGAGUCUUCUCUGGAUAUCACUCAUGGCCCAUAUGACCCGCUUGGCACUGCCAAUGUGGAAGAGAACGUAGAAGGAGGUGAAAAUAUAAUAGCGAGUAAUUACACCCAUGACGACACACGCAAACCCCCGAAUGACGAUCAUCACAAAGGAAAACCGUGGUGGAAGAUCUUGGUUCCUUGCCUCAUUAUGGCCGUCCACAUUCUGGCAACUUGUGUUUUCCUUCUGUGGAGAAGAAAUCGGAAACUUAA